CGGGUGAGUAAUACAUCGGAACGUACCCAGUAGUGGGGGAUAGCCCGGCGAAAGCCGGAUUAAUACCGCAUACGCACUACGGUGAAAAGCGGGGGAUCGCAAGACCUCGCGCUAUUGGAGCGGCCGAUGUCGGAUUAGCUAGUUGGUGAGGUAAGAGCUCACCAAGGCGACGAUCCGUAGCUGGUCUGAGAGGACGACCAGCCACACUGGGACUGAGACACGGCCCAG
rnacentral:rRNA from 1 species